AGUUCGGAUUGAAGGCUGAAAUUCGCCUUCAUGAAGCCGGAAUUGCUAGUAAUGGCAGGUCAGCAUACUGCCGUGAAUACGUUCCCGGGCCUUGUACACACCGCCCGUCACACCAUGAGAGUUGGGAGCGCCCGAAGCCGGUGAGGUAACCGAGAGGAGCCAGCCGUCGAAGGUGAGACCAAUGACUGGGGUGAAGUCGUAACAAGGUACC
rnacentral:rRNA from 1 species